rnacentral:pre_miRNA from 1 species
AUCACCUGGGGAUCUUGUUAAAAUGUAGAUUUUGAGUCAGUGAGUCUGGGGUGGGGCCUGAGAUUCUGCAUUUCUAACAAGUUCCUGGGUGAUAAUACU